UUGAUCGAGAAUGAACUUACAGACUGACAUGGGAGGGGUAGGGAGGUCAGUAGUAAUCUUUGUACCACCUAUACUCCACGCCCCAGUAAAAUUUGUUUCUUAACUGUUUUACAGGGGAUGGGAAACUGAGUCAUCACGAAUUUAUUGAACUCAUGAAAAAUCGACAAAAGCGAGGAUUCAGGACACCGUCAGCGGACAAACCAGGAUGGGAAGGAUUCAAAGCCUGUGUAAAAAAGGAAAUUGCAAACUAAUCACGUUAAUUGAAAUCAAGUUGAGACCAGAAGAAUAUAAUUUACACUCUUUCGAUUUCCCCUGAUAAAUUGUAUUCCUUCUUCGUAUGCAAAAGAAUCGACCCUGCAGGUGAUCUUGCGUAAAGACGUUUGAAAGUCUUAGUCCAAACAACUGCGAAUUUUUUGGGACUAAGAAGGUAUUUGUUAUGCAAUAUCUGAAGGAUUUGUUAAGACUUAGAAUAAGAAACUGAAAAGAAAUUAAAUUAAGAGUAGUUUGAGGAUACCUUGAAGAAUCUACACGGAUUAGGCGGACCAUAAUAUCCAGGAAAUCCAAAUAAUUCACAAAUGCAAGUUAUGGAGGUAUGACGUAGAAUUCCGCCUUACGGCCACCCGGUUAAUACGGGCACUUUUUGUUUUUCCUUCGAUGUCCGGAUUAAGGAGGUUCCAAUGUUCUUUACAUCUGUACAUUGAUUUGAGAUACGCAUGCGCAGACAUUUAACCGCGUUGCUGCUUAUUCCGUCAUUUUUUAUGCGUUUUCGUGGCAUUUCAUUCCAGCAGUCAGUAUAGAUCCCUGUGUCAGUAUAAAUUGACGCACGUUUGUUAAAGAGCUCCAAGCUUUAUUGCUGUAUUUUAGUAGUAUUUGUAUUUAUAAGUUAUUUGAAAACAUGCAAUUUGUGCGACAACAACAUGUAAUCUGAAUAACGUUAAUAAAUUUCAUUGUAUAUUAUGUGUGAUAAA